rnacentral:lncRNA from 1 species
GUGUGGGGAAAAAGUGUUUCAAGAAGGAGGGAAUAUACAACCAGGUCAAAUCUUGCUGUAGUCCAAAUAAGAGCUGGAGCUGAAAGGGAAGGAAAGGGAGUUCCACGAGGAGUUUGAGCACCCGAAGCGGGUCCACCAGGAGGGAGAAGUGCAAGGUGGUGGAAAACCACUAGGAACUGGAGGAGGAGACCAAUGCUUUCAGCUGACUGAAGGCCGUGGUAGAGGCAUUGCAGUCGCAGGCUUUGCAAUUUCACCUUGCAGCAGCCCCUGUGGAAGGCAAGGACAAGAAUCAACAGAUGCGCACUUACAUGUCAAGAGUGGACUUUAGACUUUCAUGUGUUCAGUUGCUUGAGUUACACCUUGUGACUCUUCUCUCAUAACACGGUGUGAGGACAGACUGGGAGCUGGUACAGAUUCCAGUGUUUAACAGCCUUGCUUUCCUCUACCCCACCCCAGGUCCAGGUUUCCCUGGGCCUGGCGGGUCACCCC